AGUGAACGCUGGCGGUAGGCCUAACACAUGCAAGUCGAACGGAAGCACGGUAAGAGUUUGCCCUUACGGGUGGCGAGGGGCGGACGGGUGAGGAAUACAUCGCAAACCAAUUUUACUGGGGGGAUUACGUAGGGAAACUUCUGAUAAUACAGAAUACGACGUACGGCAGAAUGCAGGGGAUAAUCGCACUUUGGCUGUUUGAUUGAGCUGAUGUCGGAUUACCUAGUUGGGGGGGUAAAGGACCACCAAGGCGACGAUACGUAGCAGACCUGAGAGGAUGAUCAGCCACACUGGAACUGAGACACGGUCCAGACUCCUACGGGAGGCAGCAGUGGGGAAUAUUGGACAAUGGGCGCAAGCCUGAUCCAGCCAUGCCGCGUGGGUGAAGAAGGCCUUCGGGUUGUAAAACCCUUUUGUUGGGAAAGAAAAUCAGUAUGUUAAUCCCCCGCUGUUCUGACGGUACCCAAAGAGUAAGCACCGGCUAACUUCGUG
rnacentral:rRNA from 1 species